UACGGAGGGUGCAAGCGUUAAUCGGAAUUACUGGGCGUAAAGCGUGCGUAGGCGGUUCGUUAAGUCUGUUGUGAAAGCCCCGGGCUCAACCUGGGAAUGGCAAUGGAUACUGGCGAGCUAGAGUGUGUCAGAGGAUGGUGGAAUUCCCGGUGUAGAGGUGAAAUUCGUAGAUAUUGGGAAGAACACCGGUGGCGAAGGCGGCGACCUGGUCCAUUACUGACGCUGAGGCGCGACAGCGUGGG
rnacentral:rRNA from 1 species